UUUCACCCCUAAAUUUCUUUUCCCUAACCUAUCCUCUCAAAUCCCCCACCAACAAGGCCAUAACUCCAAUCUGUUUCUCAUGUUGCCUCUGUAUCAAUUUCCAAAUUUUUGAACCACCACCUAUUGAGAAGGCCCCUUUUAUCCUCGUUCAACAACCCUUCAUCUUCAUUCAACAGCCCCUACGGAUUUUAGGUUGGAAGGUAUUUGAAAUCGAUCUAUAAUAUUUUGUUCAUGGCUUCCAUCGUUGAAUCUUCUUGGAUGGCACGGUCAUUAGUACUUUGAGAAUUUAAAUAUACCAAUAAUCAACAGAAUGUCAGAACCCACCGUCAUCACCAACAACCCACUAACAUCCAAAAUGGGAACACUUUCACUAUUGUUAGGAAGUUUAAAGGAGACAAGUUGAAUGGGUCACCAGUUGUCUUCAAUUGAGACUUAAAGAUAUCUCCAAUUGAGAACCUGGGCUUCACAGCAGGUGAUGGCUUCACAACUUUCUCAUUUUUCACUACUAGAUCUAUUAGACCCAUCUCUCUCUUCAUGGAUUUCACCAACUCAACGUCCACAUUGUUUCCAACUCUGUCCAUCACAUAGAACGUAAUAUCCACUGUAGAUUUGUCGGUUUUCGUUGCUAAAUCUGCUCUCAGUACUGCUAGCCCCUUCUCUUGAAGAACUCUAGUUAUGUCUGAUAGCAACCCUACCCUGUUGUUUGCACAUAGUUCUAGUCGGGUUCCCUGCACAAAUAAGCCAUAAAAUCUUAAGAACAUGAUACUAAACCGGUUUAACUU
rnacentral:lncRNA from 1 species